CGGGGGGGGCAAGCGUUGUUCGGAAUUACUGGGCGUAAAGGGCUCGUAGGCGGCCAACUAAGUCAGACGUGAAAUCCCCAGGCUCAACCUGGGAACUGCGUCUGAUACUGGAUGGCUUGAAUUCGGGAGAGGGAUGCAGAAUUCCAGGUGUAGCGGUGAAAUGCGUAGAUAUCUGGAGGAAUACCGGUGGCGAAGGCGGCAUCCUGGACUGACAUUGACGCUGAGGAGCGAAAGCUAGGGGAGCAAACGGGAUUAGAUACCCCGGUAGUCCUAGCCCUAAACGAUGAAUGCUUGGUGUAACGGGUAUCGAUCCCUGUUGUGCCGAAGCUAACGCAUUAAGCAUUCCGCCUGGGGAGUACGGUCGCAAGGCUG
rnacentral:rRNA from 1 species